CCUACGGGCUGCAGCAGUAGGGAAUCUUCCACAAUGGGCGAAAGCCUGAUGGAGCAACGCCGCGUGGGUGAAGAAGGUCUUCGGAUCGUAAAACCCUGUUGUUAGAGAAGAAAGUGCGUGAGAGUAACUGUUCACGUUUCGACGGUAUCUAACCAGAAAGCCACGGCUAACUACGUGCCAGCAGCCGCGGUAAUACGUAGGUGGCAAGCGUUAUCCGGAUUUAUUGGGCGUAAAGGGAACGCAGGCGGUCUUUUAAGUCUGAUGUGAAAGCCUUCGGCUUAACCGGAGUAGUGCAUUGGAAACUGGGAGACUUGAGUGCAGAAGAGGAGAGUGGAACUCCAUGUGUAGCGGUGAAAUGCGUAGAUAUAUGGAAGAACACCAGUGGCGAAAGCGGCUCUCUGGGCUGUAACUGACGCUGAGGUUCGAAAGCGUGGGUAGCAAACAGGAUUAGAUACCCGAGUAGUC
rnacentral:rRNA from 1 species